rnacentral:piRNA from 1 species
UGACUGUCAAAUGCCUAAAUGAUAAGAU